AACGCACGAGACCUGCGGACCUGCGGAGGGAUCAUUAAUGAGAAACUGCCCCUCGCGGGUAGAUCUCCCACCCUUUGUAAACUUACCUUUGUUGCUUUGGCAGGCCCGUCUCCGGACCGCCGGCUUCGGCUGGCCAGUGCCUGCCAGAGGAUUCUAAAACUCUGUCUGUCAGUGUUGUCUGAGUCUAUAUACAAUCGUUAAAACUUUUAACAACGGAUCUCUAGAUCGGAAGAGCACACG
rnacentral:misc_RNA from 1 species